rnacentral:rRNA from 1 species
CCUACGGGAGGCAGCAGUGGGGAAUAUUGCGCAAUGGGCGAAAGCCUGACGCAGCGACGCCGCGUGAAGGAUGAAGGUCUUCGGAUCGUAAACCUCUGUCAGCAGGGAAGAACAGUCACUGUGCUAAUCCGCAGUGAAUUGACUGUACCUGCAAAGGAAGCACCGGCUAACUCCGUCCCACCAGCCGCGGUAAUACGGAGGGUGCGAGCGUUAAUCGGAAUUACUGGGCGUAAAGCGCUCGUAGGCGGUAUGUCAAGUCAAGGGUGAAAUUCCCGGGCUCAACGUUGGAACUGCCUUUGAAACUGGCAGACUGGAGUGUGUGAGAGGAUAGUGGAAUUCCAGGUGUAGGAGUGAAAUGCGUAGAUAUCUGGAGGAACAUCAGUGGCGAAGGCGACUAACUGGCACAUAACUGACGCUGAGGAGCGAAAGCGUGGGUAGCAAACAGGAUUAGAUACCCGAGUAGUC